rnacentral:misc_RNA from 1 species
CUGAAACGACGCGUAGCGCCAUUUUUAUUGUGGUUAACCUUUAACCGCUGCUUUGAAAUUGAAUUUUCCGUCGCAAUUCGCUAUUUUGAUUUGAAGGCGGUUUUCAUUUAUUUAUUAUCUAAUUAUAGUGCUUUAUUGUGUGUGAAUGUUUUUGUAAACAGUAUAUUAUAAAAGCAAUCAUUUAGUGUUUACCAGUUUAAACGUGUAAUUGUUUUUUUCGUAUAGUUUGAUUUAUUUGAUAAUAUAAUGGUUUAUAAGUGCUCUGUUCCCGGGUGCAGUACUCGAGGCCGAGGUAUUAAAUAUUAUAGUGUGCCGUUCACAAAUAAAAAAAGGUGGGAAGAGUGGUUAAGUUUAUGUCCAUUCCUACAAAAUUAUCCUCCUACUCAACGCGAAAACAUUCGUUUUUGUCAUAAACAUUUUAUUCCCGAACAUAUAAAACAGAAUCUAAGAUUAACACCUAAUGCGAUUCCUUUAGUAAACUUAGGAAAUACAGAUAAAUAUAAAGUUACAAACCGAGAUUUGAUAUUAGAAAUUGAACCCACUAGUAGCAUUACUGAACCCUUUAUUUUUAAAGUAGUUAACCCUUCUGAACUUAAUCGACCCACUAUAGAGCAAAAUUGUUCUAUCAUACAAGAACAUCAAAGUUCUGAGCUGUCUAGCACGGUAUCAAUUCAUGCUUCAUUGAAUGAAGCAAAUAGUAGUACUCAACUCAAUUUACUCCCAAUAUACCUCACAAUACGCAAUACCCAAUAUGUAUAACCCCUUCCACAUCAACCACCAUUGCUGUGUGUAAUGAGCACAAAUUAAAAGUCACAGCCUAGUUAAACGUAGAUUAACUAAUCGUAUUAGAUUAAAUCCCAAUGAAUGUACCCCUCGUAAACGAAUUUUACGCUCUUCAAUUCACAUUUUAAAGAAUAAAUUACGUCUCUUGCAAUCAAGGUAUAAAAAGUUAAAGACUAGAUUUGACCUUCAUGCACCAAAAACAAAGGUGUUCUUGAAAAAAUAUAACAUUUUGAGUACAUAUGGGAAAUUAUUAGUAGAUUCACAAUUACGUUUGACUGGUAAUUCAUUAAAAGGUCGCCGUUACACAGACUCAGAAAAAGUUUUUGCUUUAUCAUUAUAUAAGUUAAGCCCUAAGUGCUAUAGAUUUUUACGAAAACAUUUAGCAUUACCAUGUAAAUCCCAUUAAUUCUCUACUCAGCAAUAUUCCUUUGAGGCCUGGUAUUAAUGACUUUAUAUUUCAACAUUUGGCAGAUGCUGCCUUGGAUAAACCAUAAUAGACAGGCAAUGCACAUUAAUGUUUGAUGAAAUGUCCAUUAAAAAACACUUAAAUUUUAAUUUCUUUACUGGGGUCAUUGAAGGUUUUGAAGAUAUAGGUUCUGGCAAACGCACAAACAAUGUGGCUGAUAAAGCUUUAGUUUUUAUGUUACGGGGUUUGUUUUCUCCUUGGAAAAUUCCAAUUGCAUUUUAUUUUGCUCGAGAUGGGGUUAAAACAUUUGUUUUAAAAAUAUUAUUAAAGAAAUAGUAUUAGCAGUUUUAAAUCUGGAUUCAUAGUAAGAGCUACAAUCAGUGACCAAGGUUCUGCCAAUGUUGCUGCUAUUAAGUCAUUAAUAUCAGAUUCUAAUGCUGAACUCCUACGUAGUAACAAAUAUACCAAUGACAUCUGUUAUAAAAUCGGCCCAAACCAACUGUACCAUAUCUAUGAUGUACCUCAUUUAUUGAAAUGUUUUCGCAAUAAUUUUCAGAAAAAACCUACUCAUUGGCAACCAAAGGGCAAAGUGGGAGUAUAUUGAGAGACUUUAUAAAGUGGAUGGUUUUGGUGGCAGAGCAAGAAGCACCAAACUUACUGAGAAGCACAUAAAUCCAACUUCAUAUGACAAAAUGAAGGUCAAAUUUGCAGCCCAAGUUUUUAGCCGGCAAGUGGCUACAUCACUAGAAAUCCAGAUGAAGUCUCUGCUAUCUCUACAGGAUCAUGAUUACAUAAGUUUAAAUGAAGACAUUGGAAAUGGUUUGUUCACAGCAGAAAUUCUUCUUUUUAUAAAUAAUUUGUUUGAUAGUUUAAAUGGUUUUGGUCAUUAUGGGAAUAAGUUAAAACAUGCUCUUUCAUAUAAUUCGGAGCACAUUGCAUUCUGGAAUGAUGCUGUGAAAAAGCUAGCUUCAAUGCGCUUUGACGCUUCCAAUGAAAGGGAAAGGAAGCCUUUAUCACUGAAGCAUUUUGAACAUAAUAUAAAACAAUAAAACAUUUGUGGUCAGAUCUGCUGAGAAUUGAUGGUGUUAAAUUUUUAAGUCUUAGACGUCUUAAUCAAGAUCCGAUAGAAAACUUUUUUGGUCAAAUAAGGGCACAUGGUAAUUUUAGUACAAAUCCUAAUUGUACUCAUUUUGUAUCGGCUUUUAAAACCUUGUUGAUUAACAACAUUACUACCGGUAAAUCUUUAUACACUAAUUGUUCUGAUGAUGAUGACAAAAUGUUGGGAACAUUAAAACAUUUAGUCAGCCACCAAAAAUAUGGUUCAUACACUGAUAGUCUUCAAUGUAAUGAAACUAACUUUAUAGAAAUUUCUAUACCUAACGAGAAUAUAUUCCAACAUAAGUCUGUACCAUAUAUUGCUGGUGCAGUUUGUCGUUUUUUGAUGUCCAAUUUGAACUGCAAAGAUUGUGAUAAUUGUACAAAAGCACUAUUAUCUCAGAGAGAGUCAUUUCACGAAUUAAUUAAUUUAAGAGAAUAUAGUUCCAAUGUAGAUAGGUUAUGUUAUCCUUCUAAUAAUUUUAGUCAAAUGGUCUGGCAGAGUAUUUACAUUAUUGACAAGAUGAUGCCAUUUCUUUGCAGUGUUUAUAUUUAUUCUGACUUAAUAAGUAAUUUAAUAAAAUAUAUUGACACUACUUGGUACAACUGUAAUAUUCACAAAACGGCUGUUAUUAAAGCUUUUGGUCCUACAUAGUUAGAAUGCAAGUUAAGCAGUGGUGUAUUAAUUUUAAUAAUAGAAUGAAUAAUAUUGAUUCAAGGCCUAAAGAUAUAGAAAUGGAAACUCUAAUCCGUGAGAAAGUCACAAAAGGAUUGAGUUAUAGAUCACAAAGAAGGCGUAGUUCCUAAUCUCACUUAAUUAAAGUUCUUCAUAGUAUUUUGUCCACAAUUAUUACGAUUUUUGCAAA